AAUGUGAGAAUAAUGAUCAUUUUCAACAGAGAGUUGAUGCAUUUAUGUUGAAAAAACAUAAAAAGAAAACGUUUGGUGAAAAAUUAAAAAAUUGGACACAUUUUUAAUUUCAGAAAAAAGUAUUAUUUUUAUUUUUUUAAAUCGAUCGCAUUUUAUUUUAGUUUUAUUUUCGAAUUGCUUUUAUUUUUUUAAUUGAAAAUCAUAUCCGACAGGUUCAGGGUCAGACGUCUAUUAUUUCGCUCAUUUUUAAACCCCCGGCUAUGAAAAGUUUCCUAGUAGAACAUCAGCCUUUCAAAUUUUUAGCCGAUCUUAAAUGAUUGUUAAAUACUACGCCUGAUUCUGGACCUACCAAUAUUCUUGUUGAAUUUUUGAAGCCAUUCGACUGUUUUCAAGUCUAUGAUAUCGCAUUUAAGUGCACUUAGUGUCGAUUCCGUACUUCUAAAUUUAAAUGGACUGAUAAUAGAUAUAUUUCCAAUAAUUAAUUCGCUAUUUUAGAAUUGUAGCCCUCUUGUGAUAUAAUUAGAUGAUGGCAGCUGUAGCUGGCACAAUAUAAGCAGACCAAAAGCCCGUAAAAUCUUCUACUCCAAAACUAUUUCACGGGCUUUUGGUCUGUAUUUGUUAUUUACUUAAAAUAUUUUUGUUAAUCACAAAUUUAUUAAAAAUAUCAGGCCUAAUGAUCCGAUGAAAUAUAUAUAUAUUUGUUAUUUUCGUCUCAAUGUUUACAAAGAAUCAAUAAGCCGGGAAAUUGUUAAAAAC